rnacentral:rRNA from 1 species
AGCUUAAAGAUAUUUAUUUUAAGUUAUACCUGCCCAAUGUAGAUUCUAUUAAUGGCCGCGGUACUUUGACCGUGCUAAGGUAGCGCAAUCAAUUGGCUUUUAAUUGUAGCCAGGUAUGAAUGGAGUUACGGGGUUUAGCUGUCUCCUAGUUAAUUUAUUGAAGUUACUUUUUAGGUGAAAAAGCCUAAAAUUAAAAAGAGGACGAGAAGACCCUUAGAGUUUAUCUUAUAUUAAUUAUUUUUAAAUCAGUUUUGUUGGGGCAACAUAGGAUCAUAUAACAUCCUAAAAAAUAUUAACCGAUAUUUAUAAGUUUGGACAAACUACCUUAGGGAUAACAGCAUAAUUUUAAUAAUAAGUUUGUGACCUCGAUGUUGGACUAGGAAACUAAAAGGCUAGCCGCCUUUUUGGCAAGUUCUGUUCGAACUAUAAUUCCU